rnacentral:rRNA from 1 species
GACGUAGGGCGCGAGCGUUGUCCGGAUUUAUUGGGCGUAAAGAGCUCGUAGGCGGCUUGUCGCGUCGGCUGUGAAAUCCCGUGGCUCAACUGCGGGUCUGCAGCCGAUACGGGCAGGCUAGAGUUCGGUAGGGGAGACUGGAAUUCCUGGUGUAGCGGUGAAAUGCGCAGAUAUCAGGAGGAACACCGAUGGCGAAGGCAGGUCUCUGGGCCGAUACUGACGCUGAUGCGCGAAAGCCAGGGGAGCGAACGGG